UAAUUCUAGAGCUAAUACAUGCUGGAGUGCCCGACUCACGAAGGGCCGUAUUUAUUAGAUAUCAGCCAAUAAGCAUCUGCUAUUGUGGUGACUCAUAGUAACUUAAUCGGAUCGCAUGGGCUUGCCCCGCGACAAACCAUUCAAGUUUCUGCCCCAUCAUGCUUUCGAUGGUAGUGUAUUGGACUACCAUGGCUUUCACGGGUAACGGAGGAUUAGGGUUCGAUUCCGGAGAGGGAGCCUGAGAAACGGCUACCACUUCCACGGAAGGCAGCAGGCGCGUAAAUUACCCAAUCCUGAUUCAGGGAGGUAGUGACAAGAAAUAAUGGGUCGGGGCUAUGCCCUGAGACU
rnacentral:rRNA from 1 species